GAUGAACGCUGGCGGCGUGCCUAACACAUGCAAGUCGAGCGAAGAUAGAAACGAGUACUUGUACGAAUUUUUAUCUUAGCGGCGGACGGGUGAGUAACACGUGAGUAACCUGCCUUUCACUGGGGAAUAACAUCGAGAAAUCGGUGCUAAUACCGCAUAACGUCACGAGAUCGCAUGGUUUUGUGACCAAAGGAGCAAUCCGGUGAUAGAUGGACUCGCGUCCGAUUAGAUAGUUGGUGAGGUAACGGCCCACCAAGUCAACGAUCGGUAGCCGAACUGAGAGGUUGAUCGGCCACAUUGGGACUGAGACACGGCCCAGACUCCUACGGGAGGCAGCAGUGGGGAAUAUUGGGCAAUGGGCGAAAGCCUGACCCAGCAACGCCGCGUGAAGGAAGAAGGUCUUCGGAUUGUAAACUUCCUUGAUCAGGGACGAAUAAAUGACGGUACCUGAAGAACAAGCCACGGCUAACUACGUG
rnacentral:rRNA from 1 species